CUCCGCGCCUGCGCGGGGCUCGCCCGGGCCCGGGAGCGCUGCGGGGCGCGGGAGGGCCCGGGGCGUCCCGGCGGAGCAGCUUCCCCUCGUCCUUCCCUGCUCCCGGCAGCCGUGAUCCGAGCGGAGAGGAGGCCGUGUUUAGGACGCAGAGAGCGAGGAGGCUGAGGGGAAGAACGCACCGGGGUGUCGCUGCCCGUGCGCUGUGGCGGAACAGUACGAGAUGCGCUGUCAGACUCUGCUCACGAAGCAAGUAUGUAUCGAGACUGUCUUGAUCUAGCCUGGUCUGAAGUUUUGAACAGAAUUGGUUCCUUUACAAGCAUUGGGCUUCAGCACUAUGCCCUUUGGCAUUUCACAGAAAUAAACAGAAGAGCUUUAGCUGAAGAGGAGGCAUUACAGACAGAAAGAAACCCCUACCUUGCCAAGGAGAUUUUCUGCAAUGAAAAGCUGUAAGGAGCUGUAAGGAGUUCUAGGAUGAUGGUUUUGCUCAGACUGAUUUGAGCCCCCUGUGCCUUUAGGUUGCAAGGGUCUGAUUUAAAGAUCUCCCUACUGACAAGAGCCCAGCCCCUGUGACAGGCAGCUCAGUCGCACACAUCUGCUCCUCACCUCCCUCUGUGUGCAGUUCAGUCGCACACAUCUGCUCCUCACCUCCAUCUGCUACAGCUCAGUUUCCACCUGACUAUCCACAUCUCCUUUGGCACUCUGCAUCUCCUGCUUCACCAGCUCUGAUUUCAUGUCUUCAGCUUCUGCCUUAUGCAUGUUACCACCCACUGCUCUACUGCUCUGGCUCCUCUUCCUUAUACAUUUGAACUGAAUAUUUCUUCCCUCUGCAUUUUCACGGCAUCAGCUUCCUUUCCUAAGGACAUUAAAUCUUUCAGGGGUCUUUAGGCUCUGGAAUCUGACUGACUUUUACAGGUUACACACAAUUUGAGUUUUCCAGGAAAAUAACAUGGGCAGUUAUUUUGCUCAAGGAUGGCACAAACAUCUCCCUGAGAUUAAAGGUAGUCCUAAAAAUACCAGUCCUGUGCCCUGAAGCAUGGAAACAUUAGUGAUUCUUUCUUUCCAAAAACAUGUCAGGCAUUACUAAUAAUAGAUGGUGCUACCAGCAGCCUCUUAUGUAAGUGGCCACUACUGAGGUGUAAAUUUAAAUGAGCUGUGGCUUUGUAGUAAAGCACACACCAUAGCAAAAUUGAGCUUUUAGCACACACUAAGCCUGCCAGAUAUGUAAUAAGGCAUACUCUUUGAUGUUGUCAGUUACAGAUGUUGCUCCUAGUUUACAUAAACAACAAAAAAAAAAUCAGUUGUCGGCUCUUUAAAAGGUUAGAGGUAUCACUUUUAGUCUUUUGUUUGCCUUUAAAAACAAGACUCAAAUUAUAUGAGGAAAAUCAUUGUCAUUUAUUAACGAUAUAGCUGGCAUCCAUGUUGCUGCUAGAAAUUACAGUGUUCAGUAUUUGCACAUUAGAAAAUGUAAUUAUUUUAAUAGUCUAGCAUGUAAAUUGUAGCAAAAAUAUAUCAAAGAUGUAGAGUUAAAAUCUCAUUAAUAGUGGAUGAUGGAAGAUAGCAGAUGACAAUUAUGAAAUAAAUGGAAGAAAAGAGCAAGUCAAGAGAAGGGUGGGGUAUUGGGAGGAAAAUAUUAAAUACUUCCUGGCAAAAAUUGCCUUGUUAGACUGCAAACACUGGAUGGGAAUUUUAGCCCUCAAUGACAGUUUUUUUGCAGCCUGCGUUUUGGGGUGACUUUAUGAUGCUUGUAUCCUUAAUUGUCUGUUUUGUUUAUACUGGAUGUUAAGUUUUGCAUUUUUAAGACUGGUUCCAAGAGCAAAGCAGGGGAGAGAAGAAGCUCAGAGUUUAUUAUCAGAAACUGCCCUUGCUCCUCUGCAUCCUUCUCCUGAACUGUGUUGUCUGCAGAACGGUCAGACGGCGCGGGAGAGCUUUCUUUUGCUUUUAGUUAGUUUUUAGCUGGCUGAGGCAGAGAAGUUCCCUAGACUGUGGUUUUUCUUAUCCUUAGAACUGUUUAAACCUGCUCUGAACUGGAAACCCAGAAAAGCACCGGCAGCUUGCACCUGUGGCCCACCUGGCCAGGCCUGGGCUGCAGCAUUUCCAGCAUCAGAGGCACUGGUAACAGACUGAGUGAGACAAGCUGCAAACCAUGAAAAGGACUUUUGGAGUUUGUCAUCUCUUCAGAUUGACAAGAGGUUUUAUUGUUUAAUAUUGUUCAGUUUUUGUGGUGGUGAAUGCUUUGCCUGUUAAAUAAACAGGUUUUUCUUCCA